rnacentral:rRNA from 1 species
UACGUAGGUGGCGAGCGUUGUCCGGAUUUACUGGGCGUAAAGGGCGUGCAGGCGGUCUGUCAAGUCUAGGGUGAAAGCUCCCGGCUCAACUGGGAGAGGUCUUUGGAUACUGGCAGACUUGAGGGAUGCAGAGGAGAGUGGAAUUCCCGGUGUAGUGGUGAUAUGCGUAGAUAUCGGGAGGAACACCAGUGGCGAAGGCGGCUCUCUGGGCAUUACCUGACGCUGAGACGCGAAAGCGUGGGGAGCGAACCGG